rnacentral:rRNA from 1 species
AUUGAACGCUAGCGGGAUGCUUUACACAUGCAAGUCGAACGAGUGGCGGACGGGUGAGUAAUAGAUCGGAACGUGCCCAGUAUCGGGGGAUAACUGCGCGAAAGAGUGGCUAAUACCGCAUACUCUUGGAGCGGCCGUUAUCGGAUUAGGUAGCGGGUGGGGUAAAGGCUAACCAAGGCAACGAUCCGUAGCUGGUUUGAGAGGACGACCAGCCACACUGGGACUGAGACACGGCCCAGACUCCGACGGGAGGCAGCAGUGGGGAAUUUUGGACAAUGGAGGAAACCCUGAUCCAGCCAUCCCGCGUGUAUGAGAAGGCCUUCGGGUUGUAAAGUACUUUUGUCAGAGAAGCGGUAUCUGAAGAAUAAGCACCGGCUAACUACGUGCCAGCCGCCGCGGUAAUUC